GAUGAAGAACGUAGCGAAAUGCGAUAAGUAAUGUGAAUUGCAGAAUUCAGUGAAUCAUCGAAUCUUUGAACGCACAUUGCGCCCGGCAGUAAUCUGCCGGGCAUGCCUGUCCGAGCGUCAUUUCACUCCUCGAGCCGCUUUUAGUGGAUCGGUGUUGGGGCACUACGGUAAAACGUAGGCCCUGAAAUGAAGUGGCGGUCCCGCCGCGGUGCCCCCAUGCGUAGUAACGUUUAGUCUCGCAUCGGGUCCCGGCGGAGGCCUGCCGUCAAGCCUAUUUAUUCUCAGAAUAGUUUGACCUCGGAUCAGGUAGGGUUACCCGCUGAACUUAAGCAUAUCAAUAAGCGGAGGA
rnacentral:misc_RNA from 1 species